rnacentral:lncRNA from 1 species
UCUUGGUGUAGCAGUGCGGACGUGUUUGUUGUCCCGUGUAAAUGUUGUUUUUUCUCUUUUUUGUAUAUAUUUCACUCUUUUUCCAUUUUCAAAUUAAAUAUACCUUCCGGCAACCCACCUCACCCAACGUGAGACGGAUCUGCUAUUUUUAGACCUUAUAGCUAGAACCUCCAUCAGAAGCUAGCCAGCAAAUUAUCUACUAGCUAUUUAGUCAUUGUUAUCCACUGCUAGCGGCCUUUACCUUUAGCUCAGACACCAGCCGCUUUUAGACUGGAUAAUACCUGCCAGUCUGCACAGCACGAUAUCAACCCUGAGCAUAUUGGACUGCUUUUCUCCACUACAUCACCGGAUUCCUGCCAUUAGCUCUGGACCAUUACACCGGAUCAUCACAGCUAGCUAGCUGCUACCGAGUGGCCCAGCCCCGAAGCUAGCCUUGAGCCAGUCCCAAUGAUCACUCGACUACACAGCUGAUGCCUCCCGGACUCUUACCGGACUCUUCACUAACACGACUAGAAGCCACUACAUCACCGGAUUCCUGCUGUCGCAGUUGAAAAUGAGUACUUGUUCUCAACUGGCCUACCUGGUUAAAUAAAGAGGAACGCUCCAACUGCCAAAAAAAUGACCUUACAUCCAAGCCUGUCACUGCUACACUAGCAGCUGCUCCCUCACAUCUGACCCUGGACUAUACCUGCUGCUUUCUCCUAUAGGGGAGAGAGGGGGUGUUGUGUAUCCCAGGAAAUAAUCAAAAUUAAUGUAAGUGUUACAGUUUUGAAAACCAAGCUUGUCGGUCUCUUGGCACAACUUACCAGAGUAUGGGGUAAAUAGCGCCACUGGACAGGACCAUGACUUUUUCCUAAAUAUUGGGUCAAAUUAGGCAUGGGUCCUCAGAUUUGGCGUGGGUCCUCAGAUCCUCAAAAGGUUCUACAGCUGCACCAUUGAGAGCAUCCUGACAGGUUGCAUCACUGCCUGGUAUGGCAAUUGCUCAACCUCCAACCGCAAGGCACUACAGAGGGUAGUGCGUACGGCCCAGUACAUCACUGGGGCCAAGCUUCCUGCCAUCCAGGACCUCUAUACGAGGUGGUGUUAGAGGAAGGCUCUAAAAAUUGUCAAAGACUCCAGACACCCUAGUCAUAGACUGUUCUCUCUGCUACUGCACGGCAAGCGGUACUGGAGCACCAAGUCUAGGUCCAAGAGGCUUCUAAACAGCUUUUACGCCCAAGCCAUAAGACUCCUGAACAUUGAAUCAAAUGUCUACCCAGAUGAUUUGCAUUGCCCCC